UCGCUCUCUCGCUUCUGCCUUCCUUGCAGUGCACGGCCACCCGCACUCCUCCUCCUCUUCUUCUUCCUCGGUCCCUGCCGCGCGUGCGCCUCUCGCUCGCUCGCUCUCUCCCCAAGCUCGUUUCAUUCGCCCAUGUCCUCGCCCUCGCCGCCGGUCAUCCCCGGGAGCAGGAGCAGCCGAGCGUCGCCGCCGAUCACCGCUUCACCAGGUCAGUCAGUUCAUCUGCUAGCUUGUUGCUGUUGUUUCCGUGCCAUGUCGUGUCCUGUCUGUCUGUUGCAACAGGUCAGGUCAGGUCCGGCGCCGUUGUGAGGGACGGGACGAUUAAUUUGGGUCCUCGGCCAAUCGCUCUUCCGCAUCUUGCCAUCAUUCAGUUAGUUCAGACUCGAGCUACAUCUUGGCAGAGCGGCUGGAAAUGACAAUUUGUUCAGACUGGAGGAGCAGCGGCUUUCUUUCCUGUGCAUCACAAGUUCAGAACACACGCCCUGGCUUCCUUCCUUCAGCUUUCGACGUGCGCCACAUCAGUCAGAGACGGACAAAACAAGCAGCAUCCAUCAAUCCAUGUGCACUUUGGCUGGCCUCCAUUUACACUCUCGCGGCGGCGGAGCACUGAGCAGUGACCUAAGGGCGCAUUUGAGAGAGAUGAAGCAAGCAGCAGGAUGCAAAGACAAGUCUGUCGUCUCGGCGCAACAGUCCAGCUCGUACGGCUUUCGCUUGCUGAGGUAAGAUCAAAUCAUCUUAUCCGUCAUGUCCUAGGGAUUUAUUUUACUUGGUCAAGCUUUUGGGCAUUCCUUUCCAUCGAUCCCCACAUUUAUUUUACUUGGUCAAGCUUUUGGGCAUUCCUUUCCAUCGAUACCCACUUUCUUCAACUAUGACGGCGUGUGCAUGUGUGUUCCUCAAAGCUAUCACACUCUAAAAUUUGCUAUCACACUCUAAAAUGCGUCUGUAUACAUCGUAUAUAGUCCAUAUUGAAAUCUCUACAAGGUCUUGUAUUUAAAAACGGAUUGAGUAUAGGCCAGUGUUAUACGGGAGUACUAUAUCAGCAACUAACAUUGUACAGGUAAGAAAAAUAUUCAUCUACCCCAGAAGGGUGCAGCAAAGUGAAGAUCGAGCCGAUUUAUUCAAAGGAAUGAUCACAGCACAACAAUGGAGUACACAAGAACGGCGACAGCACCCACGCAACGCAACAUGCGGCCGUGUACAUAUUGGUCACAGCUUAAUUACACUCAUCACACAAAGGUACAUCCGAUCCAUUUGCUCUCUCCGAGCUAAUACAAUGUAUGGCAGCACAUCUCAAUCACCACGCCCCGUGACGCUUCUGCCCAGGUGCGCAACGCAGGUACAGCUCCUCUGUUCUUCAGUCUCGAAACGUUGUUUCUGCCGAGAGCAGAGGGCCUUUCUCAAGGGAGGAGGGAAAAUAGGUUCGAUUCUUGCGGAGAUGCUACUCUAAAUCCGUCUCAUCUCCGCGGAUGGUAUACGGAGGAGACAUGAAAUAUGAUCUCCUCGCCGGCUUCGGGGGUAUAAUUUACAUGUCUUUUGUUUCUGCAAAAUCAAACACACUCAGGGUCAGCAAAUCCGCCAGGAGUUAGGAGAUACGACGACUUAUGUACGUAGCAGAGGAAGAAUUUCUUUACCUUUAUGAUGACUCGAUCGCCGCGACCCUCACGGGCUUCGUUACUCUUACAAUGUUCCUCAUGUGCUCAAACGCCAUCACUACCAGGCCUAUGACAUAAAGAAAGCUUAGUUGCAACUUUGCAAGUAGGUUAUACGCUGCUACGGCAGCGUUGCCGGCUUCGCCUGUUCGUAUCGCGAGGGUUACAGGCCUUGCAGAAAUAAGGGCACCGGUUUCUGGUGGUGGUAAAGGGUCAGCGUAAGAGGUGUGCCUUCCAACAUAGCCUUCCAUAGAAUUUUGCGACGUUCAGCAGCCGGUUCUUAAGCAUACCUGAUGUGUUUUCUGGCUGGGACGACCACUCGUGCGGCGCCGUCGCCGACUUGGUGGCCUUUAUCAGAUCCAUCAGCGCGUUGUUGACCUGUCAUAGAUCAAUAAUCACAUCAGUUUCUAAAAUGCUUUACUGUUAUUGGUAAAGAUGAAUGAGUGGAGAAACCAAUAAUCAUUAUCACAACUGUAUUUCUUGUUUUCUUUGGAACAUGGAGUUGAUGACACCCUAGUUGUAUCAGCACUUCAAUCGUACGCUUUACUGUAAAUCGUAAGGCUCUCUUUGGAACAAAAAGAAGCCAUCCUAGAUGUCAAAUGCUCUGAAAAGAGUCUCCGUGGCCAGUCUUCUAAGAUGCCUUAUUGUAACUAUAUUUCUCUAGCAACUUAAGUAUAGUUUAUGCCUUAGCGGGCAAAGACUGCCUAGCAGUCUGUGGUCAGUGUGUAUAACUUUCUCAAACGGAGCAAACUCUAUUGAAAUUAUUUGCACAGUUUGCAAUAGUUCUGAGUAUUUUGA